rnacentral:rRNA from 1 species
UCCCGAGUAAAGUGGCGCACGGGUGAGUAACACGUGGAUAAUCUGCCUCUAUGAUGGGGAUAACAGUUGGAAACGACUGCUAAUACCGAAUACGCUCAUAAUGAACUUUGUGAGGAAAGGUGGCCUCUGCUUGCAAGCUAUCGCAUAGAGAUGAGUCCGCGUCCCAUUAGCUAGUUGGUGGGGUAACGGCCUACCAAGGCAACGAUGGG